AGAGUUUGAUCCUGGCUCAGGAUGAACGCUGGCGGCGUGCCUAAUACAUGCAAGUCGAACGCUUUGUGGUUCAACUGAUUUGAAGAGCUUGCUCAGAUAUGACGAUGGACAUUGCAAAGAGUGGCGAACGGGUGAGUAACACGUGGGAAACCUACCUCUUAGCAGGGGAUAACAUUUGGAAACAGAUGCUAAUACCGUAUAACAAUGACAACCGCAUGGUUGUUAUUUAAAAGAUGGUUCUGCUAUCACUAAGAGAUGGUCCCGCGGUGCAUUAGCUAGUUGGUAAGGUAAUGGCUUACCAAGGCGAUGAUGCAUAGCCGAGUUGAGAGACUGAUCGGCCACAAUGGGACUGAGACACGGCCCAUACUCCUACGGGAGGCAGCAGUAGGGAAUCUUCCACAAUGGGCGAAAGCCUGAUGGAGCAACGCCGCGUGUGUGAUGAAGGGUUUCGGCUCGUAAAACACUGUUGUAAGAGAAGAAUGACAUUGAGAGUAACUGUUCAAUGUGUGACGGUAUCUUACCAGAAAGGAACGGCUAAAUACGUGCCAGCAGCCGCGGUAAUACGUAUGUUCCAAGCGUUAUCCGGAUUUAUUGGGCGUAAAGCGAGCGCAGACGGUUAUUUAAGUCUGAAGUGAAAGCCCUCAGCUCAACUGAGGAAUUGCUUUGGAAACUGGAUGACUUGAGUGCAGUAGAGGAAAGUGGAACUCCAUGUGUAGCGGUGAAAUGCGUAGAUAUAUGGAAGAACACCAGUGGCGAAGGCGGCUUUCUGGACUGUAACUGACGUUGAGGCUCGAAAGUGUGGGUAGCAAACAGGAUUAGAUACCCUGGUAGUCCACACCGUAAACGAUGAGUGCUAGGUGUUUGAGGGUUUCCGCCCUUAAGUGCCGCAGCUAACGCAUUAAGCACUCCGCCUGGGGAGUACGACCGCAAGGUUGAAACUCAAAGGAAUUGACGGGGACCCGCACAAGCGGUGGAGCAUGUGGUUUAAUUCGAAGCAACGCGAAGAACCUUACCAGGUCUUGACAUCCCUUGACAACUCCAGAGAUGGAGCGUUCCCUUCGGGGACAAGGUGACAGGUGGUGCAUGGUUGUCGUCAGCUCGUGUCGUGAGAUGUUGGGUUAAGUCCCGCAACGAGCGCAACCCUUAUUACUAGUUGCCAGCAUUCAGUUGGGCACUCUAGUGAGACUGCCGGUGACAAACCGGAGGAAGGUGGGGAUGACGUCAAAUCAUCAUGCCCCUUAUGACCUGGGCUACACACGUGCUACAAUGGCGUAUACAACGAGUUGCCAACCCGCGAGGGUGAGCUAAUCUCUUAAAGUACGUCUCAGUUCGGAUUGUAGGCUGCAACUCGCCUACAUGAAGUCGGAAUCGCUAGUAAUCGCGGAUCAGCACGCCGCGGUGAAUACGUUCCCGGGUCUUGUACACACCGCCCGUCACACCAUGAGAGUUUGUAACACCCAAAGCCGGUGGGGUAACCUUCGGGAGCCAGCCGUCUAAGGUGGGACAGAUGAUUAGGGUGAAGUCGUAACAAGGUAACC
rnacentral:rRNA from 1 species